rnacentral:rRNA from 1 species
CGCUGGCGGCACGCCUAACACAUGCAAGUCGAACGAAGUAGCAAUACUUAGUGGCAGACGGGUGAGUAACAUGUAGGUAUCUGCCCUUUGGCCUGGAAUAACACGAGGAAACUUGUGCUAAUACCGGAUAAGUCUUUACGGAGAAAGCUUUAUGCACCAUUGGAUGAGCCUGCACUUGAUUAGUUUGUUGGUGGGGUAAUGGCCCACCAAGACUGUGAUCAAUAGCUGAUUUGAGAGGAUGAUCAGCCACAUUGGGACUGAGACACGGCCCAAACUCCUACGGGAGGCAGCAGUGGGGAAUCUUGCACAAUGGAGGAAACUCUGAUGCAGCGAUGCCGCGUGAGUGAAGAAGGCCUUUGGGUUGUAAAGCUCUUUCGUCGGGGAAGAAAAUGACUGUACCCGAAUAAGAAGGUCCGGCUAACUUCGUGCCAGCAGCCGCGGUAAUACGAAGGGACCUAGUGUAGUUCGGAAUUACUGGGCUUAAAGAGUUCGUAGGUGGUUGAAAAAGUUAGUGGUGAAAUCCCAGAGCUUAACUCUGGAACUGCCAUUAAAACUUUUCAGCUAGAGUAUGAUAGAGGAAAGCAGAAUUUCUAAGUGUAGAGGUGAAAUUCGUAGAUAUUCGGAGGAACCCCAGUGGCGAAGGCGGCUUACUGGCUCGAUACUGGACGCUGAGGUGCGAAAGG